CUUCAGCAAGGGCUUGAUCUUGAAGAACAGCUUCAUCCAAGGCCAGUGCUUCACAUUCAUGAAUGCACGAAUAUUGUACUGGAUGCAGAAGAUGGACUCUCUGGAAGGUAGCCCCUGCACCUCGCUUGUGUGCGGGUGAUGAGCUGUGCCAGCUUCUCAUCCCUCAUCUCUUCCAAGAGGCCUACAAGCCCAGCCUUGAAGAACACCUUUGGGCUGGACUUCACUGGGACCAGAAGCAAACCACACCACAGUUAAGAGGUGGACUGAAAACCAUCUCUGGAUACAGCCUGUCCUGCACAGCAACGCAUUGUCGGCAGUGCACAAAUUCCUCAGGGAGGAGAAAGGAUUCAGUUGUGCUGAAAAUAGACCCUUCUUGAGACAGAGAUCAGGCAGCUGCCUCCCUUCUGCCAGCCUUUAAGAUGUAUACUUUCUUCUCCUGAUCCCUGUGUUUAGCUAUCAGACAAGGAGUGAGAAGGCACUUUUUAGCUGGACAGCACAGCAAGGCUAGAGAAGGGAACUGGAUGUGGCUACAGAUUGCUGGAGUUGGCUAGAAAGAGCCUC